rnacentral:rRNA from 1 species
UACGUAGGGCGCAAGCGUUGUCCGGAAUUAUUGGGCGUAAAGAGCUCGUAGGCGGCUUGUCACGUCGAUUGUGAAAGCUCGGGGCUUAACCCCGAGUCUGCAGUCGAUACGGGCUAGCUAGAGUGUGGUAGGGGAGAUCGGAAUUCCUGGUGUAGCGGUGAAAUGCGCAGAUAUCAGGAGGAACACCGGUGGCGAAGGCGGAUCUCUGGGCAGUAACUGACGCUGAGGAGCGAAAGCGUGGGGAGCGAACAGG